UAAAAAUGCUCAACAUCACUAAUCAUCAGGGAAAUGCAAAUCAAAACCACAAUGAGAUAUUAUAAUCUUACCCCAGUUAGAAUGGCUAGUAUUAAAAAAAAUAUAACAGAUGCUGGCAAAGAUGCAGAGAAAAGGGAAUCCUUAUACACUGUUGAUGGAAACAUAUAUUGGUGCAGCAAAUAUGGAAAACAGGAUGGAGAUUCCUCAAAAAACUAAAAAUAGAACUAUCAUAUGAUCCAGCAAUCUUGCUACUGGGUAUUUAUCCAAAAGAAAGGAAAUUAGUAUAACAAAACAAUACCUGCAUCCCCAGGUUUAUUGCAGCACUAUUCACAAUAGCAGAAUGGUAGUUACCAGAGGCUGGGGGUUGUGGGAGGAUGGAAAAUGGGGGGAAGGUAACCAAAGGGUACAAAAGUUCAAGUUAGACAGGAGGAAUAAUUUUUCAAUAUCUAAUGAACAGCAAGGUGACCAUAGUUAAUAAUGAAGUAUUGUAUGUUUCAAAAUUGCUGAGAGGAUAGAUUUUAAAUAUUCUCACUACAAGAAAAUGAUGGGUAUAUGGAGUGAUGGACAUGUUAAUUACCUUGAUAUAAUCAUUCCACAGUGUAUUAAUGUAUCAAAAAAUCAUGAACUCCAUGCAUGUAUAGACUUAUUUGUCAAUUAAAAAAAAAUCUAAAGAAAAGAAAAGACUUGAAUGUAAGGCUUAACCAGUUUCCAUAUAUCAAACACGAAUGCACCAUUUUAGUUACCCUGUAACAUUCACUGUAGGAGUAUGGGUGGGCUGUCUUUCUGUCAUCAGUUUUUAAUUUAACUUAAUUUUAUUGCAUUAAAAAAGAAGUAUUGAGAUAUAACUCACAUUCAUACAAGCCCUGUAUUUAAAGUGUACAAUUCAGUGGUUUUCACUAUAUUCAUAGCAUUGGACAACCAAUACCACUAAUUCCAGAACAUUUUCAUCAUUGCCCCCAAAAACUCUGUACCAAGCAUUAGUCAUUCUCCGUUUCUCCCCAGUCCCUAUCCUCAGUCAUAGGCAACCACAAAUUUACCUUCUAUUUCUAU
rnacentral:lncRNA from 1 species